rnacentral:rRNA from 1 species
GACGAACGCUGGCGGCGUGCUUAACACAUGCAAGUCGAACGAUGAACCCGGAGCUUGCUCCGGCGGAUUAGUAGCGAACGGGUGAGUAACACGUGAGUAACCUGCCCUUGACUCUGGGAUAACUGCUAGAAAUGGUAGCUAAUACCGGAUACGACCCUCGGUGGCAUCACCAGGGGGUGGAAAGAAUUUCGGUCAAGGAUGGACUCGCGGCCUAUCAGCUAGUUGGUGAGGUAACGGCUCACCAAGGCGACGGCGGGUAGCCGGCCUGAGAGGGUGACCGGCCACACUGGGACUGAGACACGGCCCAGACUCCUACGGGAGGCAGCAGUGGGGAAUAUUGCACAAUGGGCGCAAGCCUGAUGCAGCAACGCCGCGUGAGGGAUGACGGCCUUCGGGUUGUAAACCUCUUUUAGUAGGGAAGAAGCGAAAGUGACGGUACCUGCAGAAAAAGCACCGGCUAACUACGUGCCAGCCGCCGCAGUAA